AACGAACGCUGGCGGCAGGCUUAACACAUGCAAGUCGAGCGCCCCGCAAGGGGAGCGGCAGACGGGUGAGUAACGCGUGGGAAUCUACCCAUCUCUACGGAAUAACGCAUGGAAACGUGUGCUAAUACCGUAUACGUCCUUCGGGAGAAAGAUUUAUCGGAGAUGGAUGAGCCCGCGUUGGAUUAGCUAGUUGGUGGGGUAAAGGCCUACCAAGGCGACGAUCCAUAGCUGGUCUGAGAGGAUGAUCAGCCACACUGGGACUGAGACACGGCCAAGACUCCUACGGGAGGCAGCGGUGGGGAAUAUUGGACAAUGGGCGCAAGCCUGAUCCAGCCAUGCCGCGUGAGUGAUGAAGGCCCUAGGGUUGUAAAGCUCUUUCACCGGUGAAGAUAAUGACGGUAACCGGAGAAGAAGCCCCGGCUAACUACGUGCCAGCCGCCGCUGUAAUAC
rnacentral:rRNA from 1 species